rnacentral:lncRNA from 1 species
GGGACUUUUAGGAGGUGGAGCCUAGUGGUAGGAGUUGGGUAAUUGGGGACGUACCUUCAAAGGGGAUAUUGGGAUCCUGGCUCCUUCCUAUGUCUUUCUUUACUUUCUGGCUGCCAUGAGAUGAAAGACUUUGCUGCACCACAUGCUUCUCACCAUGAUGUUCUGCUUUGCCACAGGCCUAAUGUGACAGACCAACAGAGAUUGGCAAUUCAUGCCUUGUGAUAUAGUUUUUCAUGUUUCAAAUUUUUAAAAAAAAAUCUGCUUUGAGAUACAAAGGAUCAGGCUCAAGAAAUAUCUCACAUCUAAACCUAGUAAAUAAAUUAAUGUUUCUAGAAGUUUCUUCAUGUUGAGCAUUCAAAUUAGUCCUGUUUCUGGGUCCACACUGGGAGGUAGAAAGCAACCCCUCUAUGCCAUGAGUUCAGAAAGGCAUUGGAUAUUUUGGUGGAACAAGACCACAGAAUGUCCCCGGUAUCUGUUUGUUUAUUCACAGCAAAGGAGUGGUUUGCAAUUAUUGAAGCUGUCGGAGAGAAAGACCUUGGAAGUUUUUGUUGAAAAAAGAUGGUAAAUUUAAAUAUAAUCGUAUUUACUAUUGCCAUUUAAAAGUGUGUAAAAAUAUUAUUUUAAUUUUUAUAUAUAGAAAAAUACUUUAGUCUUGGACUCAACUCUGUAUACUCUAUCUUCCUCAUAAACUAUUAAGUUAUUCAACCUCAAAUUCUCCUGUCACAGACUUUUCAGGAAUUUUAUUUUCUCAACUGAUAAGAGGUAUUCUAUACCAAGAUCUCCCAAUUCUUCUCAACUAUUAUUCUGUACAUAGUCACUUUUUAAAACAUUUGACCAGAAUUAAAAUGAAAAGUCUAUUGAUGCCGCUUUUGUAAUUCUCUCAAUAAGGCAAACACAAAUAACACAUGCAUACACACACAAGCACGUGCACACAAACACAGAGGAAUAUGCAUAUUUGCACAGGUAUAUUUCAGAAUUUCUAGCUUUGUGAAUUCUUUUGAUUUAUAAAAGAUUAGAAAACCAGUUCAAUAACUAAUGUGAAUACUUUAAAAAAAUUGUCCCUUUAUUCUCCACCAAGUUUAAACUGAGAAAAACAAAUGUAGGAAGCACACUUUUUAAAAGUCAAGAAAUAGUCAAAAGGGAAAGUCAAGAAGUAGCUGAGUGUGGUGGGACUCAGGUUGCCCAGGACUUGGUCCAUUGAACAUACCAGCUGGGAUGAACAGAAAGCCCACUAUAUUAUAAAGCACAAACGCUUUUCCUACAAUAAAAUAGAAGAAGGGUUUUGUAUUUCAGAAACAAAGGAUUUUGUUUAUUUUUUUCUUAAAGUUCCUCAAGAUUUACUUUUGACAAAUAAAUCUCAAACAUACAGAAAAUGUCAGGCAGAAUAAAAAUAAGAUAUUCUAUUUACAUAUCAUGUUCUUUUCUAAAGUGAUAAUCAUUAACCUAAAUCCUCAUAUUUUUCUGGUUGUGUGCUCUUUGCUGCCAUCCUAAUAUAUUUAAACUCUAAUUUCUUUUUGUUAAAAACAAUAACAAUAGCAAAUACUUAGAAAUAUUCUAAGUUACGGAUUUAAAAUAUUCUCUGGUCUCGUAUUAAGAUUUUACUGUGCAUAUUUCCACUUUGUAGAAUAUCCAAUCUGUACUGGUAUAACUAAAACAUAUUUGUAAUUUCUUUCUUUCUUUCUUCUUUUUCUUUUUUUUUUAAAAAUAGUCUCCUUAUCUUGGAAACACAUAUGUAUAAACUCUGUGCUGCACUGGUUGCUAGGGCAAGUCCGUAUAGUCUAUUAAAUAUCAGACCAGAGUAAAUAGACCUUGCAGCAGACCAGAGUCUUCCAGAGUCGCACUGGAGGCCUGUAGAC